UCUAGUUUAAACCCGUGUCAUCCUAUCACCCGAUAUCUCUAUCACCUUAUAAAUAGACCGAGAAACCAGAAAUCUGUAUGAUGAAUUAAUUGUUAACUGCACGACCGACGAUUGUAAAACGUCCCUACAGUGGUCUUAUUCCACAAUGGCACCAGGAACAGGAAUGAUGCUGAUAGUUUUACUCGGAAUGUUGGUGUAUUUUGGUGGAGUGGAAAACAUGAUCAUUUCAAGUGAAUGUGAAGCAGGGGAGUUUAACUGUGGUACGACACCCGUCGAAUGUAUGCCGUUGUCAUGGAGAUGUGACGGAGACGAGGACUGUGAUAAUGGCGUCGAUGAAAUAAACUGUCCUACGGCGAGUGAAUGUCGAGAUAAUCAGUUCAGCUGCAGAGUGGAUGAAGAGAUGACAUGUAUUUCAAAUACUUGGAGGUGUGACGAUGACAUAGACUGUACAGAUGGAACAGACGAAAUCAACUGUCCUGUUGUGUCAAGUGGAUAAUCUCUCCAUGCCCGUUUAAUAUGACAUUGUUGGAGAAAACUAAUCCCGAUAGGGGGGUGGGGUAAGAUCAACAUGUGGGUGGAUAAAUGGAGAUUUUUAACCGGUCAAUCGACCAAAUUGUUCCGCGGAGUUCGUAAUAUUCAUUGUAAAUUUAUCAGAAAACAACUAUUAUAGGAUAAUACCAUACAGAACAUUACGGAUUUUUUUAUUUACAUACUUGAAAACGUGUUCUUCUGGGCGAGUCUCUUUGCAAAACGUCCAAGGCCAAUUCAAGUAGGCUGGACAUGAAAGUUAGCUACUUUUUCUUGUACAAUUGUGCAUUGAUAGGGGAUAUCACGUCACAAUUCCAAAAUGGCUGCGAUGAUGUCAUGCUCGGUUCCUGGUUGAUGGAACCCUUAUAUCAGUUAUUUUAAGGGGUUUCCCCCACAAUAUCAGUUAUCUAUCAUGUAGGUUACGUCUA